rnacentral:rRNA from 1 species
GAUGAACGCUGGCGGCGUGCCUAACACAUGCAAGUCGAGCGAUUCUCUUCGGAGAAGAGCGGCGGACGGGUGAGUAACGCGUGGGUAACCUGCCCUGUACACACGGAUAACAUACCGAAAGGUAUGCUAAGACGAGAUAACAUAAGAAAUUCGCAUGUUUUUCUUAUCAAAGCUCCGGCGGUACAGGAUGGACCCGCGUCUGAUUAGCUAGUUGGUGAGGUAAGGGCUCACCAAGGCGACGAUCAGUAGCCGACCUGAGAGGGUGAUCGGCCACAUUGGAACUGAGACACGGUCCAAACUCCUACGGGAGGCAGCAGUGGGGAAUAUUGCACAAUGGGCGAAAGCCUGAUGCAGCAACGCCGCGUGAGCGAUGAAGGCCUUCGGGUCGUAAAGCUCCGUCCUCAAGGAAGAUAAUGACGGUACUUGAGGAGGAAGCCCCGGCUAACUACGUGCCAGCCGCCGCCGUAA